rnacentral:rRNA from 1 species
GUAGGUGGCAAGCGUUGUCCGGAAUUAUUGGGGCGUAAAGCGCGCGCAGGCGGUUCUUUAAGUCUGAUGUGAAAGCCCACGGGCUCAACCGUGGAGGGUCAUUGGAAACUGGAGAACUUGAGUACAGAAGAGGAAAGCGGAAUUCCACGUGUAGCGGUGAAAUGCGUAGAGAUGUGGAGGAACACCAGUGGCGAAGGCGGCUUUCUGGUCUGUAACUGACGCUGAGGCGCGAAAGCGUGGGGAGCAAACAGGAUUAGAUACCCUGGUAGUCCACGCCGUAAACGAUGAGUGCUAAGUGUUAGGGGGUUUCCGCCCCUUAGUGCUGUAGCUAACGCAUUAAGCACUCCGCCUGGGGAGUACGGCCGCAAAGGCUG